rnacentral:rRNA from 1 species
CCCCUAGAUGUUCUGGGCCGCACGCGCGCUACACUGAACAGUUCAACAAGUCUUAACCUUGGCCGAUAGGUCUGGGUAAUCUUUGAACGCUGUUCGUGAUUGGGAUAGACCUUUGCAAUUAUGGGUCUUCAACGAGGAAUUCCUAGUAAGCAUGUGUCAUCAGCCCGUGCUGAUUACGUCCCUGCCCUUUGUACACACCGCCCGUCGCUCCUACCGAUUGAGUGGUCCGGUGAAUUAUUCGGACUGCAACGCGUUCAGCUUCUGGAUGCAGUUGCGGAAAGUUUUGUAAACCUUAUCACUUAGAGGAAGGAGAAGUCGUAACA